UACGGAGGGUGCGAGCGUUGUUCGGAAUCACUGGGCGUAAAGCGCGUGUAGGCGGCCCACUAAGUCUGAUGUGAAAGCCCGGGGCUCACCCCCGGAAGUGCAUUGGAAACUGGUGGACUCGAGUCCCGGAGAGGAGAGUGGAAUUCCUGGUGUAGCGGUGAAAUGCGUAGAUAUCAGGAGGAACACCGGUGGCGAAGGCGGCUCUCUGGACGGUGACUGACGCUGAGGUGCGAAAGCGUGGGGAGCAAACAGG
rnacentral:rRNA from 1 species